UACGAACCGUGCGAACGUUGUUCGGAAUCACUGGGCUUAAAGGGCGCGUAGGCGGGUGACCAAGUCAGAGGUGAAAUCCUGCGGCUCAACCGUAGAAGAGCCCCUGAUACUGGUCGUCUUGAGGGAGGUAGGGGCAUGUGGAACUUCCGGUGGAGCGGUGAAAUGCGUAGAUAUCGGAAGGAACGCCGGUGGCGAAAGCGACGUGCUGGACCUCUUCUGACGCUGAGGCGCGAAAGCUAGGGGAGCAAACGGG
rnacentral:rRNA from 1 species